CAAGCCUAGGGUGUUUUUAACUGAUCCACACACUCUUAUAUAUAGGCACGCGUUAAGUUUCUCGUUGCUAUGACAAUAAGACGUAAGGCCACUUAUCGGAAGGUUUCUUUUGGCCAAAGACCAUCCGAAAUGGUACGAUUCGUUUUAAACGGAUAACAGUUAGGAAAAUCCCAAAACAGAAUUUACAAUAUUGACUUACAUAUACAAACAAGAAUGACAAUAUUCUGCAGCCUUAGGAGAGUCUUGCUUGAUGAGACAGUCAGUUAGCACAUUUGCAACGUUAAAGAGUUGUACACACCGAUAUGAAGCAAACAAACGUUGGGAAAACGAUAUUAAACUGGAUGGAGAAGAGAAGCACUUUUAGUCCAAAAAGUGGGCCGUUCAGCAGACUUACGAUGACAGCGAAGAUUAGAAAUGGGCCCAGAAAACGUGGGGUUAAAAGUUUGUUGAGACAGCGAUUCAAGACGGACACUAGUGAGGAGGAAACCCGUUUAUUUUGACGAGGCGCUUUCAUCGGCUUUGCAGCUAGAGAAGAUUUCGUAGUCGUCAUUUCAUCGUCGGCCAUUCCAUUCGAGGCUAGGGAAACUAGAGAUGAAAUCAGAAACAGCCAAACGAGUUGUUCGCUUGCCAAGAAAACUGGCAUUUUGCUGACUGAUGAAAAUGGACUUGCACUUGGGUUUACACACGUCGCUUUCACCGCAUUCAUACGAUAGAUACAAUAACGAUCAAGAGUCCUGCUCGUCUACAGUUAACAUGAUUUCAAAAACAACAAAUGGCGUUAAUAACGUUCAGCUCCUUCGCGGGCCAGUCGUUUGGCGCCUGAAGAUCCAUCGUCGUAUAUUCCUGGGCCUUUGAGUCGUCUUCCUCCAGCCGUUAUCCAUCCAAUAAAAGAUGAGGUUUUCAUUGACGUUGCGGAGGUAUUGAGACUCUGUAUGGAUGGCCAUGCGACCGAUUCCCCACGCCUUGGCAAUUUUAAUCGCUUCGAUAGCUGCUCUGAUUUCUGCAGCACUUUUAGUCGUGUCAUCUCGGUCAUCUAGCGGCUCACUCAGAUUUCUGCCUGAGCAUCCGGAUGGCCUUGCUGAAGACAGAUGCCAUCAGUAUAAACGCGAACAAAUCCGUUUCGAUUGAUGCUAAAAUUGUGAAGCAAUUUCUCUGGAGCGGCGGGAGGGUUAACGUAACGGGUCGAUCCGAUGCGCAUCAGGUCGACUAUCCACUCGGCAUUCUGGGCGGCUUCGCACAAAUCGUGCCAGGAGACAUCCUCGUCGGGGAUGUGUUCGAAAAGGUAGGACGAAUGCAAUUCCCUCCAGACGGCACGCUGCAUCCCCCUGACAAGCACAUCUUUCUUGACUCCACGACGGAACAAACUGAAAUCCGGAUCGGGGAAGUCGCGACAUCCAUAGGCUUCCAUGAAAGCUGCAUCAAUACGACGGGUAAAAUUACGGAUGCGCUCAGUCCUUCCCUGUUUCAUCUUCUUCAGUUGAUGAUGAUGAUAGUACAUUUUAUUCUCUAUCGACGAAGUAUCCGUCGAUGCGUACAUUUUCGAACCUAAAUGGAAUUUUAAUGGACUUAACUGGGGGGAAUUAUUUGCGAAUGAUGUGAUACAACUGAACGGUUUGGCCGUCAGCGAUUGACUGGUGUUCUUAUCGGCUCAGCAGCGGACUGUCAUGAGAGAAAACGGAGAAAGGACAAAUCUUGUUGAGACUAACAACGGGAAAGUAGAGCGAAGAGUAUAUUUUUAUUAAAUAAAAACAAGGUGCUGUGGCGAUUUCUUUCACAAAAUCGAGCCAACCGGUUUGUGUCCCUUAUAGAUUGUCACAUUGCGGUUAACCCGCAAAUGCAGAGCUGGGGACCUACAUCGAUUGGAGGCAGUAACGAAUAAUAAGACGAAAAGUGUUUAGGAUUGAGUGUGAAUGCAUUUUAAUGCAUUUGCAUACUGGGGACUAAAAAGAAAUUUGGCGACCUUUCCGCACCGUCGCCUUUAAUUGUCCGUUCGAUAUCAGAUUGGCGAACUCGGAAAACGAAUGUGAAGAUGACACCAAAGAGCAGAGCUUCAGCUAGGUAAUUGUCAAGUGAGUUAGGCUGAGAGAUUGCGACCGGUUGGAUCGACCUACUUUGUUUCAUAUGAACGGGUGAAAUAGCCGGUGGCAAACAUGGGAUGUAAUUAGUAUAAUCCACUAGCAAUCCCAGCACGAAGAAUUGAAUCUUCAUGACAGCGAUAAAUAGAGUCAAAGCGUGUGCCUUUUUCUACACAACGUAAAACGUAAGUUAUAGUUAAUAAUUAUAUAAGCACAUCAGAUACGAAGAAAGAGAAAAUGGGGAAAGGUUACCAUGCGACGAUUCCAGUUUGAUCUCUCUAAUCCCUUAAACGUCUUGAUGAUAACGUUAAAACCCCAGUUGCCCAACAUGCACAUUAGGACGUUCAGGCCAGCUAGGGUUUGAAACAGAGGCACCACGAUGUGCUGCAUUAAAAAAAUGUAAAAAGUUUAUGUUUUGAUUAUGGGAUAUGUGGCCCAAAAAUUUACUUCGGGAAGAAAUUGAUUUAUUUCAGCUAUUUGCAGAACGACAGCAGCCAUCGUUAGCAGAAAUUGCCACAGUGGUGCUUGAUACACUCUUCUCCUCAUAGCUCGGAAUCCUCGUCUAUAAUGAAAGCACAUACCAAAGAAGCAGCAAGGUGAUGCGCAUAGAGACAUUGGAAUUCGAUUGUCCAUCAGUGUGUUAAGAAUUUGCUCUUCGUCACCAUCAAUCAUUAGUGCCAGAUCGAGAAAAUGCAUCAACAUGAAUGGCAUAUACCUGAAAAUAUCAAGAUCACCCGCCCGUGGAACGAGAAACGACGUUAUAGAGAGCCAAGAGAUUAUCAUAGGCAUGGAAACUAAUAACCAUAGGAAAUCAGUCAAUUACAAAAAAAGUGAUGAGCCAAGAAUUUUACCAAUCCAGCUGAGAGGACGUUGCCAUUCCCACGGACAUUUCCUGAUGUUAGUGCAAAUUUGGAUGAGGAAAAGAAGCGUUAACAGGCCAGAACUGGCUGUUCCCCCAUAAGCGAUACCCAGGCCAAUGACACCGAAAGCUGUGAUAAACGAGGUAUGCUCGAUUUCAACGAUAUGCAGUACGAGAAAAACAUUUUGAUUGUUUACCUUCAAAGUGUUGCGAAACAUCGGGAUGUUCGCUGUCAAACUCGUAUUGACUGCAGUUGAAUUCUAGCAUAACAUCUUGUGACAAAUUCAUGAUGAGACGACACCAAUCACAACAGUUUUACCGGCCAGACUAAAGUGCCGCACCCACAGGUGUAAAGAGCGACCACGUCUAGUACCUGAAGUUAUCUCAACGUCACUAUCGUAUUACUUCAUAUCGGACCGCUGAUUAGGAACCUCCAACAAUCAUCCCUACUGAUAAACGCAAGAAAAAGGCGGUGGUGACUGGAACUGUUGCAGCAGCAGCAGGGGCAGCUUCAGGGGUAACAGGAGCUACUGGGGCAGCAGAUGCAGCGGGAGCUGCUGAAGCAGCUCUAGCAGCAGCAAGGGCGGCUCGGGCUUCAACGUGAGCGGCCAUAUGUGCAGCCUUAGCCUGGGCGACUUCGGGUGUGUCCUGUACCUGGACUGGUGCUACCAAAUUGGCGACGGGAGCGACGGGCAGGUCGUUGGACAAGACGCGGAAGCCGCGGUGAUCGGCGGUGUAUGAAACGCGGACCUCUUUGCCUUCGGGAUUGAAGUAAGCGUAGCUUCCGAUCUGGUUGCCGAAAGCAUCGCGGUAGUUGGUGGAUGCCUGUCCGGGAUGAGCAUAACCGAAAUGGGCUUGACCCAACUCGUCCUGAGAGUGGUACUGGCUGGCAGUGAAGCUGGGAACUCCGUAGAACGAUGGGACAGCUGCUGUCGGAACUCCGGCGUAUGCAACAGGAGCAACUGGGGCACCUGGAUAAUAUCCUCCAGCGCCAUAUCCGUAGUUGUUAAACCAUUGGGCUUGAGCUGCAACAGCGAGAACCAACAAACAUGCGACCUGUUCAAGUGUAAGUAAAAUUUCAUUUUGGUUCGCUGAAAUAGAUGUGAGAGCAGAGAGAGAGAUGGAUGAUGACUGACUCCAUCGGAUAAGAGUCUUUUAUACUCGUUUGGUGAACGAAGGCGUCAACUUUUCCGGAACAA